ACGCAGGUGCUAUUAAUGUGGCAUUUCAAAAAUAUUUGCUAAAAACUAUGGCUGCGGUAUAGGUUGACAUAGCUAGCUUGCUACGUGUCGACCAAAGAGAAAUUCCCUUUCGGUGAAGGAUUUACGUUCAUGUUAUAUUUAUUUAAGGCAAAGCUAGAUAACGGUCUGAUAGUGACAAUAAGAGAUCACUUAUAAGAUAUCACUUCUUUAUUCAAGGUUCAAGAUGAGUUUAGAGCUGUGUCCAUUUUGUGGAAAACCAUUCAAAAGGCUGAAAUCUCACCUUCCUCACUGCAAAAUGUCCCCUGAUUGCAAGACUGCACAGAAAAAUAAAGUUCCUAAAGACUUACCCAUUGCUAAACACAAAACCCAUUCCGAUAAAAAAAAGAUAAACUUUUUGGACGAGAAGUUAAAUGACCCAUUGUAUCAGGUAAUCUCAAAUAGGCAAACAAAACCAAAACCCCUGAGGAAAGCUUCAAAGGAGAGGAUGGCUAAGGGUUUGGAAACCCCAUUCUUUAAGCUUGCAAACAAUGUGGCCAAAGAUCAGUCUGUACAGGAUGUGAGCUCACACACUUUGAAACCCAAAAGCAAGUGGCUUGUGAAAAGGGAACAGGAAAUGCUGAAGCAAAUUACAGUUUUGAAACAAAAAGAAGGAAAAUUUAUUUCAGACCCUCAACAGAUGGAGCCUAACAGUUUACCUGAAACCUCCAAAAAACCAGUCAAAGAAUCCCAAAAAACAGAAGGAGGACCAAAGACCCAAGACCAAAACAGUCAUAAAGGGACCAGCUACACCUCAAUAGUAAACACUAACAAGAUUGACAUCACUGCAUCUAAUGUUUUGCAUGGAGUCCCAUGUACUGCUUGCCCCCAGGUUGAACAGAGCAUACCAAAACAAGCCAAUAAAAACUUCUUGGAGAAGAUAAAGGAUAUUCCUAAAGCUUUAAAUAAGAAUUCUUUGGUUUCACAUGGAGCAGAUCUAACUUUAUUUCAAACCAAGACUUGUGUCUGGGAACACAUUAAAAACAGCCUUUAUGACAAGAAAUCUGAUUUUAGGCUAGUGAUGUGUUCCAUAGUGGUGACUCCCAAAGUGUCAGAUUUAAAGUGUGGAAGUAUUUCAACCUCUGUACACUUACCUGAUAUAGAGAAUAAUCAGUAUGUUGAAACAAAGGCCUUCUCUGCACCCUUGUUCCCAAUUUGUCAGACCUCAGUCCAAAGGCCAGCUGAAGACAUGAUUAGUUCAAAAUUACAAAACAUGAAUAUUAUGGGAUUGACACCUGAGAUGGCAACAGGUUAUGGUGGAACACUAUUCUUUUCACUUCAUUCAAGAAUAUCCUCUAAUGUUUGUACCAAGUAUCAACCUGUGAAGCCUCUUCCACAGAGUCAAGGUCCGGUUGUAGAACAGAGACUUGGAGGUGUGAAACUGAACGAGCUUGCAGCCUGGCUUAGUGCCCGAACACCAAAGUCAACAAGGGAAGCUGUGACACUGUUGAACAAAGGUUCAUUGCCAUUUCAGUUUUUUAAUCUUUCUAAUAACGUCACGGGACUACGAUGCACAGCUUCAACUUUGGAGGAUGAGAGUUCUACAGUUUCCUGUUUUCCCUCUUGAAAGACACUUGAUUCAAUUUGUUGGCAGUGGUAUUACAGGAAGUACAUUGAUGUGCAGAAAGGAGGAAUUGGUGGACUUGCAAUGAUGAUUGCUGGCUACUGUGUCCUAAGUUAUGCAUGGAGUUACCCCCAUCUCAAGAAAGAACGCUGGAGGAAAUACCACUAGAGUAUGGAGCAUUCAUACAUUUUAGAAAUUUUGGAACCUUACUGAUUACUCAGUAUCACUUUUUUGGCAAAUAAAUUGUAUUAAACUGCAAAAAUUACAAACACUUUUAAAAAAGUCAAUAUGCAUAAAGGUAACCGUAGCAGAUGAUUACCUUCAUAAAUGAAUUCUGAAGGAUUUCUAAUUAAACAAUUGGGCAACAAUUACCAUUGUAUUCAAAAAGAAUUUAAUAUUUAUGGAUCUUUGCUGUUGUAGUGAACGCAAAAACAAUAAAACGAGCUGACCAUAUUUUUUGAUUUGACAAACAUGGUAUAUCCAACAUAAUGAAAAAUAACUUCAUUUUUACUUUUACAUUAUUUUCUUUACAAAAAUUAUAAAUAUUUUGUGUUUCACUUUUCCAUUUUUAAUAUAAAAAAAAGUUUUGAAUAAUGUAGAAAAUAAAAUAUUCAAAGCAUGGGAACCCCUACAUCAAUUUAUCAGAGGGUGUUAAGAUAAAUCGAAGGCCACACUCACACAUUAGUUAAAAAAAAAAUUGAAAUUUGUGUUUUCAUACUGUCUCCUAAGGCAAAGGAGCCCUUAAACUAAAAAGGUCUUCAAUGUGAACCCCCUCCACAUGCAGGAGUUUACAGGGAUAUGGAGAUACAUUUAUAUUUUUUUGUCAACCCUAUGUGGCUGGAUUGUUGGGAAAUUUCUAAAUAUGUAGUGUUUAUGAUUAAGAAAAUUGAUCAAAGUUGCAAAAAUCAAGCACUAUAAAAUGUACAUACACUUAAAUAAAUCAGCCUUCAUUAAUCUUUUGCACUGCACUGGUCUUACAUCUCCUGUUGAAGUGAAUAAGUCUGUUUUUAACUUGUUGCAAGCAGGGUUAAUAACAUAAAGGAACUUUAAAACAAGAAAUUGACAGCUCUAGCUAAAAUACAGGACAGUUCAGGACAAUGUUUGCCACCUAAGAUGUCUAAACAGAGCUCUGAAUGCAACCAACAAAUCAAAGCCAUAAAGAACCAAAUUUAAGCAUUUCUAUUAUUUUAAAUGAUAGACAAAAAGGCAAGAUGGAUUUUACUAUUUAAAAGUGGUUUUGGUACACAACAGGGCAAAAACAGUUACAACUGGAAACCUACCUAAAAGGCAUUAACCUUGAUAAUUAAUAAUAAUAAUAAUAAUAAUAAUAAUGAAAAAGGUAAACAAAAAUGGCUAUAAAUUCCUGAUUGUGGCUUUCAGGUUCUUGAGAUAUGAGUGAUUUUUCUAUCCUCUACGUUACAUGACAACUUGAUCUUGGUAUUUAGCCUAUUACCAAACCACUUUAAAUAGUGACAGGCUGCAAAAAAAAUAUGUCUAACUGAAAGAAUAAGAAAGAAAAAUGUUUGUGUGCAAAUGUUAGUUGCUACUUGUGGCCAAGGCUGAAAACUAUAGAUACCACAGCCUGACCAGCAGGGGACACCCUCCACAAGGGAAAUUAACAUGUUUUAGAAAGUAUACCUCUGUAGGCUCACAGAAAUACAACUUAUAGCUACACAAAAGCAGGCUUUCUGUCCAGGGCUUGGAGCAGCACAAGAAGAAAAGAAAGUCAUUUAAAAAAUGAAUGAAGAUUCAAACAAAAUGUAACAUUGUACCCUCAAUCUGAGGACUUAGUUUCCUCUGCACAAUACCACUCAGGAUGAGCUUGUCUGUGUAGAGGAUGUCACAUACCUGUAAGGUACAAAACUAAAUGCUAAAUAAAAGAAAAAUAUGAGCAUAGCAAAUGCUCUUGCAGUGGUAU